rnacentral:rRNA from 1 species
GAUGAACGCUGGCGGCGUGCUUAACACAUGCAAGUCGAACGGUGAACGAGGGAGCUUGCUCCCUCCGGAUCAGUGGCGAACGGGUGAGUAACACGUGAGCAAUCUGCCCUGGACUCUGGGAUAAGCGUUGGAAACGACGUCUAAUACCGGAUACGAGGCGUGGGGGCAUCCCCAACGCCUGGAAAGAACUUCGGUCCAGGACGAGCUCGCGGCCUAUCAGGUAGUUGGGGAGGUAACGGCUCACCAAGCCUACGACGGGUAGCCGGCCUGAGAGGGUGACCGGCCACACUGGGACUGAGACACGGCCCAGACUCCUACGGGAGGCAGCAGUGGGGAAUAUUGCACAAUGGGCGCAAGCCUGAUGCAGCAACGCCGCGUGAGGGACGACGGCCUUCGGGUUGUAAACCUCUUUUAGCAGGGAAGAAGCGAAAGUGACGGUACCUGCAGAAAAAGCACCGGCUAACUACGUGCCAGCAGCCGCCGUAAGAC